UACGGAGGGUGCAAGCGUUCAUCGGAAUUACUGGGCGUAAAGCGCGCGUAGGCGGUUUGAUAAGUCGGAUGUGAAAGCCCCGGGCUCAACCUGGGAAUUGCAUUCGAUACUGUCUGACUAGAGUGUGGUAGAGGGAAGUGGAAUUUCCGGUGUAGCGGUGAAAUGCGUAGAUAUCGGAAGGAACACCAGUGGCGAAGGCGACUUCCUGGACCAACACUGACGCUGAGGUGCGAAAGCGUGGGUAGCAAACAGG
rnacentral:rRNA from 1 species